CUAGGAGUUGGGUGGGGUAGAGAGUAGGGGGCGGUAGUCGGGGGUGGUGGGAGAAGGAGGAGGCGGCGAAUCACUUAUAAAUGGCGCCCAAGCAGGACCCUAAGCCGAAAUUCCAGGAGGGCGAGCGAGUGCUGUGCUUUCAUGGGCCUCUUCUCUAUGAAGCAAAGUGUGUAAAGGUUGCCAUAAAGGACAAACAAGUGAAAUACUUCAUCCAUUACAGUGGCUGGAAUAAAAAUUGGGAUGAAUGGGUGCCAGAAAGCAGAGUACUCAAAUACGUGGACACCAAUUUGCAGAAACAGCGAGAACUUCAAAAGGCCAAUCAGGAACAAUAUGCAGAGGGCAAGAUGAGAGGGGCUGCUCCGGGGAAGAAGACAUCCGGCCUGCAACAGAAAAAUGUCGAAGUGAAAACAAAAAAGAACAAGCAGAAAACACCUGGAAAUGGAGAUGGUGGCAGUACCAGUGAGACACCUCAGCCUCCUAGGAAGAAGAGAGCCCGGGUAGAUCCUACCGUUGAAAAUGAAGAAACCUUCAUGAACAGAGUUGAAGUUAAAGUGAAGAUCCCUGAAGAGCUGAAACCCUGGCUUGUGGAUGACUGGGAUUUGAUCACCAGACAGAAGCAGCUUUUUUAUCUUCCUGCCAAGAAGAAUGUGGAUUCCAUUUUGGAGGAUUAUGCAAAUUAUAAGAAGUCUCGAGGAAAUACAGAUAAUAAAGAGUAUGCUGUUAAUGAGGUGGUGGCAGGCAUAAAGGAGUACUUCAAUGUCAUGUUGGGCACUCAGCUCCUCUACAAGUUUGAGAGACCACAGUACGCUGAAAUCCUCGCCGACCACCCGGAUGCGCCCAUGUCCCAGGUGUACGGAGCGCCACAUUUGCUGAGAUUAUUUGUGCGAAUUGGAGCGAUGUUGGCCUACACGCCUCUAGAUGAGAAAAGCCUUGCUUUAUUACUGAACUAUCUACAUGAUUUUCUCAAGUACCUGGCGAAGAAUUCUGCAACCUUGUUCAGUGCCAGUGAUUAUGAAGUGGCCCCUCCUGAGUACCAUCGGAAAGCCGUGUGAGGGCGUGCUCGCCCUCUCUCCCUCGUGCUUGGAUCUCUGUAAACAGUUUGGUUCUUAGUCCUUCUCUUGUACAAAUGAUGUACUUUGAAGACCGUUAGUGUAUAACAGAGUUGUUUGUUUCCUCUUUGAUUUUAAACAGAGAAAAUAAAAGGAGUAACUGCUCCUUUUUUCUUCCUUUUUUCAUUUCAAAGUUUCUACCAGUGUAUCAGUGACGGACAACAGAGAGACAUGCUGUAGAGUGUUUGCCUAGUUGACAAAGCUGCUUUUGAAUGCUGGUGGUUCUGUUCCUUUGACACUACGCACUUUUAUAAUAUGUGUUAAUGCUCUAUGACAAAUGCUCUGAUUCCUAGUGCCAAAGGUUCACUUCAGUGUAUAUAACUGAACACUCAUCCAUCUGUGCUCUUUUUUUUUUUUUUAAUGGUGCUUAAAGAGCCCAUCCUUUGCAAGUCAUCCAUGUCAUUCCUUAGGCAUCUUAUCUUUGCUCAACUGUUAAAGAAUGGUGGCUUGUUUUCAUGGGUUUUGUAUUUGUGUCUAAUGCACGCUUUAACAUGAUAGACGCAAUGCAUCGUGUAGCUGCAGUUUUAUGGAAAAGUCAAUCUUGUAGGAGUUGUUUUUCAGAUCUUCAAUAAAUUUUUUCUUUAAAUUUCAAAAAAAAAAAAAAAAAAAAAAUCUACCAACUAGCUAAUAAACCAUAACUCCUUUAGCUGUAGAGUACGUGUAACACUCCACUAAAAAAAUGUUUGCAGUAUUACUCGCAAAUUUCCAAAAACCAGACUUUUGGAGGCCAUUUAAGAAAUAUCUUUUGUCCUUUUUAAUUAUUAAACAUUUCCCCCGUAUUUCUUUCUUUUUAUUUUGGUCUCCUAUUUAUUUUCUUCUUUUCUUCCUUCUCCCUGUCUGACCACUGAAAUUGUAUUUUAGUAAAGAUUUAAGAUAGACAGCUCUGUUGAUAUUUCCUUUUAUAGGUAAAUUUCCAAGCAGUGAGUGUCAAGGAAUCCGUGAAUCCACUUUCUCUACAUUGAUUGAAGAGCCACUUUGGGGGCUGGAGGGAAGACUCAGUUGUUAAGACACUUACUGUUCUUGCAGAAGCCUGGGGGUUCCAUUCCCAGCACCUGGUAGGUGGCUUACAAGCGCUGGUCACUCCAGCUUCGGGGGAUUCAGUGUUCUCUUCUGGCCUCAAGACCACCUGAACCUGUGAGCAGGCACACAGACAUGCUCAUAAAUAAUCUCACAAUGUUCUUUACAAACAGAAGCCAUGUUUUCUUCAUAUUUAUUCUUCAAUUUGUAAAUAUUUAUGAUUUUUUAUUUUUAAUUUGAAUUAAUUAAUUUUUACUGUCUGUGAGUGUUUUGGUAGAAUGCAUCUCUAUGCUCCAUGUAUCAUAUAUAUUAUGUUUAAAAUAUGCAUACUUAUUUUGACAGGCCAGAAGAGGGUGUCUGACCUCCUGGAAGUGGAGUUAGAGACUUGAGUCACUGUGUGAGUGCUGGGAAUUGAUCCAGUCCUCUGGGAUUGUAGCCAGGGCUCUAACUACUGAGCCAUUCCUCUAGAUCUGAGUAGUCCCUCUUUUAAUGCUUGGAUGCGUGCCUGACAGUUUCAAUCUUUUGGCCCAGCCACCUGUGUCACCUCUGCACCACAUGGUCACAGAUGGAUAAUAUACUAUCGUAUCUGAUGGGGUCACAUCAUUCACUUUAGUUAUUUUUCCAGGAAUUUUUUUUUCUUUCAGUCCUUGCUUAUUUUUCCAUGAACUUUAGAAUAAACUUGUCUAGCUCUAAAAAUAAUUCUCUCCUGAUAUUUUUGUGGGAAUUGCUUUCCACUUACUCUGAAACCAAGUAAACUGUGCGUUGUAAUAUGUGAGUUAUUUCUCUGUUUUUAAAACCUUUUUGUGAUGCUAAGAUUGUACCCAGUGUCACAUGAUUGCUAGGCCAGUGUUUUACAGCUGGGCACUGUCCCCAUGAAAUCUGGCAUGUUCUUAGGAGCAUGUACAUAUUUCUUCACAUAGACCUUGAGUAUUUCCUGUAUGUUUACCUUUCUAGGAAUUUCUGCCUGCUAUAAUUAAAAUGAUGCAAUCUACUAUUUAAUUGUAUGUAUGUAUGUAUGUAUGUAUGUAUGUAUGUAUGUGUUAAGCUGUGAAUUCUGUAUAUUGAGUUUCUUCCAAGUCAUUUUAUCAAAUUUUUACUUUACUUGAGUAUUUUAAGGUGAUCUCUUUAUGUUGGGGCUAUCACAUCAUCUGCCCCAAACUCUUAAUUUACCUUUCUCUCUGUACCUUUAGAAUGCUGCAGGUUGGCUCUAGUCCUGUUGCUGUCUCUAGAAGAAUAUGCUUACUGCCUGCCUUAAGAGUGAGAGUAAACAUCCUGUUACACUUGACUUCAGUGGACAUGUUAUUAAUUGUGGUGGUGGCUUCUGGCAUAUAUAGCAUGUAAAAAACAUGCACACUUAUUUUGAGAGUUUUUAUUUUAAAACUGAAGCUGAUCUGAAAUGCCUAUCUAAAUCUUUUUUAGAUUUUUUUCAUGUAAAAAUGGAAAUCAUACAUUUCAAAAAAUGGCUAUUUUUUUAUUCUGUACAUUUGCUGUGAUAUAUAAAUAAAACUUCAAAUAUGAUAUGCUUAUAUUUAGUCAGAAAUUUUGUGCAUGUGCACAGGCGUGUGUGUGUUUUUAUGUGUAUCUAGAGUCUGGGAGUUAGUAAUUUUUAAGUGAUUUUUGUAUUAAUUUUUACGUCAGAUUGCUUGGAAGUUCUGUGAAUAGUAUGUGUUUAUUAACAUUUUUGAGUUUUAACAUCCGUGUAAUGCUUAAAAUAGUGUAAGUUGAUGAAGGUUUUUUCCCUGUUUUUAAGACUAAUUUUAAUAUAUUCAUACAUACUACUUAUUCUUCAAAAAUGUUAUAGAAUUCCCUUUGAAGCUACCUCACCUUGGUGUGUGUAUAUGUGUGUAUGUAUAGGUUUAUUCUCCUUAGAAGUUUAAUAUCUCAUUUAUGAUCAAUUGACUUGGUAUGUGUGUUUUCUGUGACCCUCUUGUUAGCUUUUAGGAAACCCAUCUAUUCCAAGUUUAUUAUGUAGACUUUUUACUUGAGGCUGUUUUGUGCCUCCUCGGUCUUCGCUUAUUUUCAUCUUACACUGUUGUGGUUUAUAUCUUUUUGUUUUAUUUAUCUGCUUCCCCUUUUGAUUGAUGUAGCCAAAAUUAAUUAUUUAUUUAAAAAAAUCAAAUUUUGUCUUUCCUUUGGUUUUCCCUUGUUUUUAUUGGCUUAGAUACCUAUGUUCCUUUUUACAUCUUAGUAACUCCUGUUUUGCCUGGUUUCAUUUUGUAUUUUUUUUUUUUUUAUUGUCUGGAUUUGAUUCUCAAUUCAUAUAUUUUAUACCUGAAUAAAAUUCAGGUACUCUGGUUGUGUAUGUUGUGCUGUGUGUGUACUUGUUAGUGUGUGUGUGUGUGUGUGUGUGUGUGUGUGUGUGUGUCUAUGUGUCUGUGUGUACAUCGGGAGAACAGAGGCAGGCAUAAUACCACCUUAGUUUUUGAGAAAAGCUCUCUCGGCAAAUUUGGGUCCACUCAUUAGGUGAGGCUGGCUGGCUGGUGACCUUCAGGCAUCAGACUGUCUUAGAACACCCUGGCUAGUGCUGGGCUUAUGGAAACUAUGUCCUACUUAGAAUCUGGUGACCUGACACUAGGUUCUCAUGAUUGACACUUUACCAGUGAAAUAAUUUCUCCAGCCCUAUUUAUGGUUUUAAGUUAAUAUUAAUACAGUGUAAAAUUUCCUCUGAGCUCUUCUUUAGAGAGGUUAAAUACACUAGUAAUUGUUUAUUAUUUUGUGUUUUCUGUGUGGUUACUUGGCUGUGGAGAGUUCAGUGGUAUACAGAUUCCAGGGAACACAGUGCAGGACCUUGUCUGCUUGACUUAUGCCUACCACAGUGCUUGUCAUAUUUUUUAGAUACCUUCAUUUAUUGAAGUGCUAAAGUAUUUUUGGAGUUUUUUAGGUUAGCUAGAUGGUUCAGUGGGUAAAGAUUCUUGCUGAAAAAUUCUUGUAACAUGAGUUUGAUUCCCAGAAUGCACAGAAAGAAAGGACAGAAGUGACUCCACAGAGUUGUCCUAUGACCUCCAUGUGGGUGACAUGGCACAAGCGCACACC